rnacentral:sRNA from 1 species
UUUUUUUGGGAUUUAUACUCAAACUAAGCAUCGCUAAGCCAAUAUAUAUAGACUAAUAAUUUUUAAGAAAAUGACAAACAUAUAUUUACUAAAAAGUUAUUUCUCAAAACUAAUUAACAUAUUUUCAUAAUAUUCUUUUAUUCUUUUAUUGUAGUACAUUGACAGCGUUUUAAAUAUUAGUACUGACAACUUGGAGAUUCUUUAAAAAUCUAAAGAAUUUGUUUGGCAAAUUAGUCAUUUCCGGAGAAUAUUUUUUUUUCUUUGACUAAAAUAUAUACUUUAUAUUCAAGAUUUUAACCAGAUAUACAAAAAGUUAGGAUCAAAGACAAUCAUUCUAGAUCAACCACAUUAAGUAUUACACUAAGCAAUACUACUUUCUUUCUCAAAAAGAUGUUUCAGCCAAAAAGGAAACCCGAUUGCUACAUACGAUUGGCGGCGAUCCUCCAUUGUCACGCUCUUGGCAAUAAGAUGAGCUCCAAGAUUAGAGCUUCUUAUUUCACCACACAAUCUCUGGAGAAUGUUCUAAAUGAGAUAAUUUUUGUGGACGUUGUGCAAAUAUCACACAUGACAAAAAAAAUAAAAAUUGGUAUAAUCGUAUGAAUGAUCUUUCAAACUGUCUUUUAUUCGAAAGAUGAUUGUAUAUGUGGAUAGAUGUCAACACACCAACAAACAUUUUGAUCCUAUCUGUAUAGCGAACAAAAUAUUUGUGAGAAUAUUGAACCAAGUCUUAACAAUGGGAAGAUUCAUAUCUUAGAGAUCAGUGCAAAAUUUGAGGGAUCAAAAGAUUAACGUCAAGUGUGUCAUCAGACGAACUCCUACUUUUAUGAUACCCAUAAUCUUUCAAUCUGUUCCGAUUUAAAAAUUUUAAAUGUAAUUACUGAUUGUUUGUAAUUGAUA